GCUUACGGCCAUAUCCCGUUGAAAGCACUGGUUCUCGUCCGAUCACCGAAGUUAAGCAACAUCGAGCCUAGUUAGUACUUAGAUGGGUGACCGCUUGGGAAACCUGGAUGCUGUAAGCA
rnacentral:rRNA from 1 species